rnacentral:rRNA from 1 species
UACGUAGGGUGCAAGCGUUAAUCGGAAUUACUGGGCGUAAAGCGUGCGCAGGCGGUUGUGCAGACAGAUGUGAAAUCCCCGGGCUCAACCGUGGAACUGCAUUUGUGACUGCACGGCUGGAGUGCGGCAGAGGGGGAUGGAAUUCCGCGUGUAGCAGUGAAAUGCGUAGAUAUGCGGAGGAACACCGAUGGCGAAGGCAAUCCCCUGGGCCUGCACUGACGCUCAUGCACGAAAGCGUGGGGAGCAAACAGG